GAAUAUUGGGCAAUGGGCGAAAGCCUGACCCAGCAACGCCGCGUGAAGGAUGAAAUCCCUCGGGAUGUAAACUUCGCAAGAACGGGAAGAAUAAGUUGGUGUGAACAUCACCAGCGAUGACGGUACCGUUUGUAAGCUCCGGCUAACUCCGUGCCAGCAGCCGCGGUAAGACGGGGGGAGCAAGCGUUGUUCGGAUUUACUGGGCGUAAAGGGCGCGUAGGCGGCCACCGCAAGUCGGUUGUGAAAUCUCCGGGCUUAACCCGGAAAGGUCAACCGAUACUGCGGGGCUAGAGUGCAGAAGGGGCAACUGGAAUUCUCGGUGUAGCGGUGAAAUGCGUAGAUAUCGAGAGGAACACCUGCGGCGAAGGCGGGUUGCUGGGCUGACACUGACGCUGAGGCGCGAAAGCUAGGGGAGCGAACGGG
rnacentral:rRNA from 1 species